rnacentral:rRNA from 1 species
AUUGAACGCUGGCGGCAGGCCUAACACAUGCAAGUCGAGCGGCAGCGGGAAAGUAGCUUGCUACUUUUGCCGGCGAGCGGCGGACGGGUGAGUAAUGCCUGGGAAAUUGCCCAGUCGAGGGGGAUAACAGUUGGAAACGACUGCUAAUACCGCAUACGCCCUAAGGGGGAAAGCAGGGGACCUUCGGGCCUUGCGCGAUGGGCUAUGGCCAGGUGGGACUAGCUAGUUGGUGAGGUAAUGGCUCACCAAGGCGACGAUCCCUAGCUGGUCUGAGAGGAUGAUCAGCCACACUGGAACUGAGACACGGUCCAGACUCCUACGGGAGGCAGCAGUGGGGAAUAUUGCACAAUGGGGGAAACCCUGAUGCAGCCAUGCCGCGUGUGUGAAGAAGGCCUUCGGGUUGUAAAGCACUUUCAGCGAGGAGGAAAGGUUGAUGCCUAAUACGUAUCAACUGUGACGUUACUCGCAGAAGAAGCACCGGCUAACUCCGUGCCAGCCGCCGCAGUAA